rnacentral:rRNA from 1 species
GACGAACGCUGGCGGCGUGCCUAAUACAUGCAAGUUGAGCGCUGAAGGUUGGUACUUGUACCAACUGGAUGAGCAGCGAACGGGUGAGUAACGCGUGGGGAAUCUGCCUUUGAGCGGGGGACAACAUUUGGAAACGAAUGCUAAUACCGCAUAAAAACUUUAAACACAAGUUUUAAGUUUGAAAGAUGCAAUUGCAUCACUCAAAGAUGAUCCCGCGUUGUAUUAGCUAGUUGGUGAGGUAAAGGCUCACCAAGGCGAUGAUACAUAGCCGACCUGAGAGGGUGAACGGCCAAAAUGGGAAUGGGACACGGGUCAAACCCCUACGGGAGGGAGCAGGAGGGAAACUUCGGCAAUGGACGAAAGGCUGAACGAGGAACGCCGGGUGAGGGAAGAAGGGUUUCGGGUCGUAAAACUCUGUUGGUAGAGAAGAAAGUUGGUGAGAGUGGAAAGCCCCUCAAGUGACGGUAACUAACCAGAAAGGGACGGCUAACUACGUG